UUGAAGAGUUUGAUCAUGGCUCAGAUUGAACGCUGGCGGCAGGCCUAACACAUGCAAGUCGAGCGGUAGCACAGAGAGCUUGCUCUCGGGUGACGAGCGGCGGACGGGUGAGUAAUGUCUGGGAAACUGCCUGAUGGAGGGGGAUAACUACUGGAAACGGUAGCUAAUACCGCAUAACGUCGCAAGACCAAAGUGGGGGACCUUCGGGCCUCAUGCCAUCAGAUGUGCCCAGAUGGGAUUAGCUAGUAGGUGGGGUAACGGCUCACCUAGGCGACGAUCCCUAGCUGGUCUGAGAGGAUGACCAGCCACACUGGAACUGAGACACGGUCCAGACUCCUACGGGAGGCAGCAGUGGGGAAUAUUGCACAAUGGGCGCAAGCCUGAUGCAGCCAUGCCGCGUGUGUGAAGAAGGCCUUCGGGUUGUAAAGCACUUUCAGCGGGGAGGAAGGCGUUAAGGUUAAUAACCUUGGCGAUUGACGUUACCCGCAGAAGAAGCACCGGCUAACUCCGUGCCAGCAGCCGCGGUAAUACGGAGGGUGCAAGCGUUAAUCGGAAUUACUGGGCGUAAAGCGCACGCAGGCGGUCUGUCAAGUCGGAUGUGAAAUCCCCGGGCUCAACCUGGGAACUGCAUUCGAAACUGGCAGGCUAGAGUCUUGUAGAGGGGGGUAGAAUUCCAGGUGUAGCGGUGAAAUGCGUAGAGAUCUGGAGGAAUACCGGUGGCGAAGGCGGCCCCCUGGACAAAGACUGACGCUCAGGUGCGAAAGCGUGGGGAGCAAACAGGAUUAGAUACCCUGGUAGUCCACGCCGUAAACGAUGUCGAUUUGGAGGUUGUGCCCUUGAGGCGUGGCUUCCGGAGCUAACGCGUUAAAUCGACCGCUCUGGGGAGUACGGCCGCAAGGUUAAAACUCAAAUGAAUUGACGGGGGCCCGCACAAGCGGUGGAGCAUGUGGUUUAAUUCGAUGCAACGCGAAGAACCUUACCUGGUCUUGACAUCCACAGAACUUUCCAGAGAUGGAUUGGUGCCUUCGGGAACUGUGAGACAGGUGCUGCAUGGCUGUCGUCAGCUCGUGUUGUGAAAUGUUGGGUUAAGUCCCGCAACGAGCGCAACCCUUAUCCUUUGUUGCCAGCGGUUCGGCCGGGAACUCAAAGGAGACUGCCAGUGAUAAACUGGAGGAAGGUGGGGAUGACGUCAAGUCAUCAUGGCCCUUACGACCAGGGCUACACACGUGCUACAAUGGCAUAUACAAAGAGAAGCGACCUCGCGAGAGCAAGCGGACCUCAUAAAGUAUGUCGUAGUCCGGAUUGGAGUCUGCAACUCGACUCCAUGAAGUCGGAAUCGCUAGUAAUCGUGAUCAGAAUGCUACGGUGAAUACGUUCCCGGGCCUUGUACACACCGCCCGUCACACCAUGGGAGUGGGUUGCAAAAGAAGUAGGUAGCAACCUUCGGGAGGGCGCUUACCACUUUGUGAUUCAUGACUGGGGUGAAGUCGUAACAAGGUAACCGUAGGGGAACCUGCGGUUGGAUCACCUCCUU
rnacentral:rRNA from 1 species